GACGAACGCUGGCGGCGUGCUUAACACAUGCAAGUCGAACGGAAAGGCCCUGCUUUUGUGGGGUGCUCGAUUGGCGAACGGGUGAGUAACACGUGAGUAACCUGCCCUUGACUUUGGGAUAACUUCAGGAAACUGGGGCUAAUACCGGAUAGGAGCUCCUGCUGCAUGGUGGGGGUUGGAAAGUUUCGGCGGUUGGGGAUGGACUCGAGGCUUAUCAGCUUGUUGGUGAGGUAGUUGCUUACCAAGGUUUUGACGGGUAGCCGGCCUGGGAGGGGGACCGGCCACAUUGGGACUGAGGGACGGCCCAGACUCCUACGGGAGGCAGCAGUGGGGAAUAUUGCACAAUGGGCGGAAGCCUGAUGCAGCAACGCCGCGUGCGGGAUGACGGCUUUCGGGUUGUAAACCGCUUUCGCCUGUGACGAAGCGUGAGUGACGGUAAUGGGUAAAGAAGCACCGGCUAACUACGUG
rnacentral:rRNA from 1 species